GAUGAACGCUGGCGGCGUGCCUAAUACAUGCCAGUCGAGCGAACAGACGAGGAGCUUGCUCCUCUCACGUUAGCGGCGGACGGGUGAGUAACACGUGGAUAACCUACCUAUAAGACUGGGAUAACUUCGGGAAACCGGAGCUAAUACCGGAUAAUAUAUUGAACCGCAUGGUUCAAUAGUGAAAGACGGUUUUGCUGUCACUUAUAGAUGGAUCCGCGCCGCAUUAGCUAGUUGGUAAGGUAACGGCUUACCAAGGCGACGAUGCGUAGCCGACCUGAGAGAGUGAUCGGCCACACUGGAACUGAGACACGGUCCAGACUCCUACGGGAGGCAGCAGUAGGGAAUCUUCCGCAAUGGGCGAAAGCCUGACGGAGCAACGCCGCGUGAGUGAUGAAGGUCUUCGGAUCGUAAAACUCUGUUAUUAGGGAAGAACAAAUGUGUAAGUAACUAUGCACGUCUUGACGGUACCUAAUCAGAAAGCCACGGCUAACUACGUG
rnacentral:rRNA from 1 species